GACUUGAAACUUGAGGUUUUCCUGAAUUCUAAAAGAUUUUGUGUGCAAGUAAUUAAUGGUUUUAAUUUCUUUCUUUGUUUUUUUGGCUUAAUAAUUAAUGGUUUUACUUACCUUGAUUGACAAUCAUGUAUUUCUAAAGGCUUUUUAAUGUUUCCUGCAAAAUUAAUUAUGGUUCCUGUAUAGUACUGAAUUUUGAAUUUUGGUAUUGGCUUGUUUUUUUUUUUUUUGAUCUGCUGGUAUUGGCUUGUUUGCUAUUACAGAGGUUCAUUUACUUGCUAAAUUGCGUCAAAUUUUCAUCAAUUACUGAUAUUUCUUUUUAAAUUACUUGAGAGCUAGUAUCGGAGGAGGUAUCAAAGCUGGCAGAGUAUUGUUACCUACGAGAACGUGAAGUUGCUCGGAAGUACCGUAAUAUAAACAGCAUGCGAAGAACUAUGAAUUCCCGAUUUAAUACCAUAAUGUCUAAGGCAAAGAUUUUGCUAUCCUCAAUAGCAGAUAUGCGAGAUGUUGACG